UACGAAGGGGGCUAGCGUUGUUCGGAAUUACUGGGCGUAAAGCGCGCGCAGGCGGUCUUCCAAGUCAGUGGUGAAAGCCCGGAGCUCAACUCCGGAACUGCCAUUGAAACUGUUAGACUUGAGGAUGAGAGAGGUGAGUGGAAUUCCGAGUGUAGAGGUGAAAUUCGUAGAUAUUCGGAAGAACACCAGUGGCGAAGGCGGGUCUCUGGGCAGUAACUGACGCUGAGGAGCGAAAGUGUGGGGAGCGAACAGG
rnacentral:rRNA from 1 species